UCCUCUAAUGAUGAUCAAACCAAUAACUUUCGUUCUUCUAAGUUAUCCAUGCGGAAAUUAUAUGGAGACCUGAAUGAACUGAAGAGGC
rnacentral:snoRNA from 1 species